UACGUAGGGGGCAAGCGUUGUCCGGAUUUAUUGGGCGUAAAGAGCGUGUAGGCGGCCAUACAGGUCAGCUGUGAAAACUCGAGGCUCAACCUCGAGACGUCGGUUGAAACCGUAUGGCUAGAGUCCGGAAGAGGAGAGUGGAAUUCCCGGUGUAGCGGUGAAAUGCGCAGAUAUCGGGAAGAACACCCGUGGCGAAGGCGGCUCUCUGGGACGAUACUGACGCUGAGACGCGAAAGCGUGGGGAGCGAACAGG
rnacentral:rRNA from 1 species